rnacentral:rRNA from 1 species
AGAGUUUGAUCCUGGCUCAGAACGAACGCUGGCGGCGUGGCUAAGACAUGCAAGUCGAACGGACUAUUAAUUUAUUAAUGGUUAGUGGCGAAAGGGUUAGUAAUAGAUAGGUAACGUACCCUGUGCUUCGGGAUAGCGUCGGUUGCUUCGGCAACCUACCGAAAGGGGCGGUAAUACCGAAUAAUAUCGCUUGUCGAUGGACAAGUGAUCAAAGAUUUAUCGGCACAUGAGCGGCCUAUCUCCUAUCAGCUUGUUGGUGAGGUAAAAGCUCGCCAAGGCUAAGACGGGUAGCGGGACUGAGAGGUUGACCCGCAACAUCGGGACUGAGACACUGCCCGGACCUCCACGGAGGGCUGCAGUAACGAAUAUUGCGCAAUGGGCGAAAGCCUGACGCAGCGACGCCGCGUGUAGGAGGAAGUCCUUCGGGAUGUAAACUACUGUCAGGGGUAAGAAAGUCUGCUUCGGCAGAUUGAUCUAACCCAGAGGAAGUCACGGCUAACUUCGUGCCAGCAGCCGCGGUAAGACGAAGGUGGCGAGCGUUGUUCGGUGUUACUGGGCUUAAAGCGUGUGUAGGCGGAAAGGUAAGCGUCUUGUGAAAUACCUCGGCUUAACCGAGGAAUUGCUGGAUGAACUGUCUUUCUUGAGGCAAGUAGAGGUGCACGGGACUCUUGGUGGAGCGGUGGAAUGCGUAGAUAUCAAGAGGAACGCCGAUGGAGAAAUCAGUGCACUGGGCUUGUCCUGACGCUGAGACACGAAAGCGUGGGGAGCGAACGGGAUUAGAUACCCCGGUAGUCCACGCCGUAAACGAUGUCUACUAGAUUGCGGUCGUUCUGACACGGUCGCGAUCGAAGCAAAGUGUUAAGUAGACCGCCUGGGGAGUACGGCCGCAAGGCUAAAACUCAAAGGAUUUGACGGGGCUCACACAAGCGGUGGAGCAUGUGGAUUAAUUCGAAGCACGCGUAGAACCUUACCUGGGUUUGACAUGCUUGGAUGCUAUCUUGGAAACAGGGGAUGCUGCCCUCGGGUGAAACUUGCACAGGUGUUGCACCGCUGUCGUCCAGCCUCUGGUCGGGAGAAGUUCGGGUUAGUUCUUUAUCAAGCGAAACCCUUGUCCGGUUAGAUUAUCACGCGCGGGGUAAGUGCCGGCACUCUCACGGAAUUGCCGGGGUUAAUCCGCAGGAA